AUGCAGACGGCCAAGGUGAAGGUGAAGGACGCGGUGAGCUCGGCCAAGGAGAAGGCGAAGGAGGGCACGGCCAAGGCGCAGGGCAAGACGGGCAAGGCCACGGCGACCACGCACGGCGAGAAGGAGAUGGCCAAGGAGGAGACGCGCGCCAACGAGGCCCAGGCCAAGGCCGAGAUGCACCAGGAGAAGGCCGAGCACCGCGCCGAGGCCGCCGCGGGGCGCCACGGUGCCACGCACGUGCCCCUCACCGGGCCGCAUGGCCACCACCGCCCUGCGGGCGCCGCCGCCGACCCUGCGUACACGGGCACCGGCGCGUACCCGACCACGGACUAG
rnacentral:rRNA from 1 species